rnacentral:misc_RNA from 1 species
CCCGGCUCGAGCUCGGCCGCGCUCCGGCAGUCCCGACCGCCCGCCCUCGCGUUGCGACGCAUCCCUCUCGCCGCCGCCCGCGCGACAAACUUUCCCGAUGCGAGGCGACUCUUUUCGUCCUCGAGUUGUAAGUUGAACGAGUGAAGUUGAAUGGACUCUUUAUAAAGUUCGAGUGUAGUCGAUGCUGGUUGGAUCAGUGAAAAGUGAACGAGAGUUUAGUGCUAAGUGAACUUUCGGUUUCUCUUGGAAAUUGUCACAGUUGAUAUGGACUGCAUUCUCGUGUGUGUGAGAAUGUAAGGCGUGACGCUGGCGGUGUGUCGCUGUCGAGCUCAGCGAUGGACGCGCGACGUGCGCGGCGCGGCCGCUCGCACUCACCGUAGUCGCACCACUGUCGUGCCACUGUCGCGCCACUGUUGCGCCUCUGUCGCUCGACUGGCAGUUUAACGUUAG